CCAGGACAUUCAGGAGAAGGUCAGUUAUCCCUGGGCUGCAACACCCAUGGAGUGGCGCGUCUUCUUAUUCCUGGUCUUGAUGGCCGUGCUGGUGGCCUACGUGGACGCCAAAGCCUGUUGUGGCUGGCGGAGGCGUGGUGGCGGCUUCGGCGGAGGUGGAGGCUUCGGUGGCGGCUUUGGUCGUGGAGGGUUUGGUGGCGGAUUUGGGGGUGGAGGAGGUUGGGGCAAGUAGAAGCAGCCAAUGGGAAUAAGUGAUGACGACGGAUCGACUUACGGACGAAAACUUUUAGGAAAAUAUUAUUUUUUUCGCAAACUUACUCUUGUUAGCAUUACUGGAGCUGUUUUCCCCCGCUAUUGUUUCUAGUUCCUAAUGACGUGUAAUCUUUCCAAAAUUACAAACUUUGGCUAAA